rnacentral:rRNA from 1 species
GAUGAACGCUGGCGGCGUGCUUAACACAUGCAAGUCGAACGAUUAACCCUUCUUCGGAAGGUUAUAGAGUGGCGAACGGGUGAGUAACACGUGACCAACCUACCUCUUAGAUUGGGAUAACUCAAAGAAAUUUAAGCUAAUACCAAAUACUUCGUUUAGAUCGCAUGGUCUUUACGAGAAAGCUUUUGCGCUAAGAGAUGGGGUCGCGGCCCAUUAGGUAGUUGGUGGGGUAACGGCCUACCAAGCCUACGAUGGGUAGCCGGGUUGAGAGACUGAUCGGCCACAUUGGGACUGAGAUACGGCCCAGACUCCUACGGGAGGCAGCAGUGGGGAAUUUUGCGCAAUGGGCGAAAGCCUGACGCAGCAACGCCGCGUGCGGGAUGACGGCCUUCGGGUUGUAAACCGCUUUCAGUGGGAAAGAUAAUGACGGUACCCACAGAAGAAGCUCCGGCUAACUACGUGCCAGCCGCCGCAGUAACAC